AGUGAACGCUGGCGGUAGGCCUAACACAUGCAAGUCGAACGACAGCACAGUAAGAGCUUGCUCUUACGGGUGGCGAGUGGCGGACGGGUGAGGAAUACAUCGGAAUCUACUUUUUCGGGGGGGAUAACGUAGGGACACUUACGCUAAUACCGCAUACGACCUACGGGUGAAAGCAGGAGAUCUUCGGACCUUUGGCGAUUGAAUGAGCCGAUGUCGGAUUAGCUAGUUGGCGGGGUAAAGGCCCACCAAGGCGACGAUCCGUAGCUGGUCUGAGAGGAUGAUCAGCCACACUGGAACUGAGACACGGUCCAGACUCCUACGGGAGGCAGCAGUGGGGAAUAUUGGACAAUGGGCGCAAGCCUGAUCCAGCCAUACCGCGUGGGUGAAGAAGGCCUUCGGGUUGUAAAGCCCUUUUAUUGGGAAAGAAAAGCAGCAGGUUAAUACCCCGCUGUUCUGACGGUACCCAAAGAAUAAGCACCGGCUAACUUCGUG
rnacentral:rRNA from 1 species